rnacentral:rRNA from 1 species
AUUGAACGCUGGCGGCAGGCCUAACACAUGCAAGUCGAACGCGUCGCGGACGGGUGAGUCAUGUCUGGGACACUGCCAGAUGGCGGGGAAUACCUACUGGAACCGGUAGCUAAUCCCGAAUACCUUCCGAUGUGCCAUGGUGGUACUAGCUAGUUGGUGGGGUAACGGCUUACCAAGGCCACGAUCCAUAGCUGGUCUGAGAGGGUGACGGGCCACACUGGAACUGAGACACGGUCCAGACUCCUACGGGAGGCAGCAGUAGGGAAUAUUGCACAAUGGGCGAAAGCCUGAUGCAGCCAUGCCGCGUGUAUGAUGAAGGCCUUCGGAUUGUAAAGUUCUUUCAUCAGGGAAGCGUUACCCGCAGAGGAAGCACCGGCUAACUCCGUGCCAGCCGCCGCGGUAAUUC